rnacentral:rRNA from 1 species
GACGAACGCUGGCGGCGUGCUUAACACAUGCAAGUCGAGCGAUGAAGCUUCUUCGGAAGUGGAUUAGCGGCGGACGGGUGAGUAACACGUGGGUAACCUGCCUCAUAGAGGGGAAUAGCCUUCCGAAAGGAAGAUUAAUACCGCAUAAGAUUGUAAUAUCGCAUGAUAUAGCAAUUAAAGGAGUAAUCCGCUAUGAGAUGGACCCGCGUCGCAUUAGCUAGUUGGUGAGGUAACGGCUCACCAAGGCGACGAUGCGUAGCCGACCUGAGAGGGUGAUCGGCCACAUUGGGACUGAGACACGGCCCAGACUCCUACGGGAGGCAGCAGUGGGGAAUAUUGCACAAUGGGGGAAACCCUGAUGCAGCAACGCCGCGUGAGUGAUGACGGUCUUCGGAUUGUAAAGCUCUGUCUUCAGGGACGAUAAUGACGGUACCUGAGGAGGAAGCCACGGCUAACUACGUGCCAGCAGCCGCAGUAA